GGAUUGUGGCUCAAUGGCAGAACACUUGCCUCGAAUGUGUGAGGCACUGGGUUCAAUCCUCAGCACCA
rnacentral:tRNA from 1 species